CUCACGCGUGCGCACAGAAAAAGGGCUGGGGUAUUCGUACUGCGCUCAUGGCAGGAUCGGAGGCCCACAUUGGGUGGCAGCUGCUGCUCACUGGAGCCUCAUACACGCUUUAUACUCAGGGCUCUUUCACAAACAUUCGUUCUCUUGGAUGAGCAGUGUCCCCUUAAAUCAUCUCAGAAGCGUGACACUGAUUCCAGUGAUGACACCAUUAGCCACGACUUUCCUGGGACUUGCUCUGGGGGUGCUCUCUCAGAGGCUGUGGGACUCUCUUUGGAACAAAAGGCAGAGCUCCCUGAAUUCUGAGCUCAGGAAGUAACUCGGAUACCUUAAGGCGGCCUGCCAGGCCCCUGCUUCUAUCAUGAUCCAGAUGCACCUCCAAUUUGGGGAAAGUGCUCCGUGUUCCGAGUCCAGCAAGCAUGCCUCCCGAAGGCCUGCACACGACUCCAAGCAGCAGUCCUCGCUGGCCAAUCCAGUCGGGAGAGGUUGAGGGUGAUGCCCAGGGUGGACAGUGAGGGCAGAGAUGAGAAAUGGGAAGUGGGCAGGACUUGGUGAUCUGGGGAGGACAGCCGGGCGUGAGAGAGAGAGGGAGGAGAAAGAGCCGGGAGCUUUCUAACCUGGAGAUGCAGGAUGCCGGCAGUCAGGGGAUGAUGCCCUCUGUCAGGGGCAGGUGUGGGUCCUGGGAGGUGUCUGGUGGGCGCUGGGAUCCCGGGCCUGGGGCUCCAGCUGGAGACGUGACCGUGGGGGACCCCUGACAGCUGGCAUUUGAAGGCACAUACAGGGUGGAGGAGGGAUACACGCCACCUGGGACACAGGGCCAGAGCGGGUCAAGGCGGAGAAGCCAUCAGACUAAAGGGCAGUUUGAUCAUGCUCCCCUAUAGUCAGAGGAUGGCCAAGUUUUCUGAAAUCUCAUCAUUCUUCAAUUUAUACAAAAUAAGUUUAUUACUGAAAAUGAUGUCAUGUGUUCCCCCAGAUCAUGUAACAUGACCACCCUAUCUUUACUAAGAGAUAAAAAUAUGUAUAGCACUGUCCCUUCAUUAAGAAAGAAUACAUUUCUGUUUAAGCAGAACUAAGCUUCUAUUUAAGGAUUUUUUAAAAAUACGCUGCCCCACUUCAUAAAGGAAGUAGCUAGAGGAAUGGCAGGCAGUUGUUUGCCAGAGGAGUUGCCUUCCCCCCGCCCCCACCGGGCAGUGGUGAGCAGCAGCGGCUUGUUAAUAUCCACAGACAUGGGCUCAGAAGUUGUUGGCUGCACGGGGGCUGGACCAGAGGAGGGCUGGCAGCAAGGAUAUCUGUGAUCAGCAGAUGUUCGGCCCCAGUGAGAGAUGAUGCAGCAAUGUGGGCUUUGAGACCGAGCAAGUGUUGAAUCCUCUGUAUCACUUACAUCCUCUGUAAUUUGGGGGCAAGGAGCUCACUGAACCUGAGCUUGGGAGGUUGACAGUGGUUGUCAGGAAUGGGGUUAUGUAUAUAUGAGCGCCCAGCGGGGUGCAGGGCACACAGCAAUGCUCAGCGGCUGUUUCCUUGCCAACAGUGGGAGAUUAUUGCUGGGCCCGUGGGGUCCUGCGUUCCCUGCAUGUUCAGAGGGUGAUGUAACUGAUGCGUAAGAGAAACACACAUUUGCAUCAUGAGGCUUGUCUUUCCAUAAUGACAGCUGGAGCACCAUGCUUGCCUUUCCUUGUGCUGUCUUGAUGGAAGCAUCAUCCAAAAACGUGCCAGCGACCAUUCCUAAUAAUGCUAGCUACCUCGGCGUCACGAGAUCGAUGACCCUGGCAAUCAGAGCCAGCAGGGCCUCCCUCCUUAAUUUUUAUUGCGUUAUUGCAAGAGGAUGGGGCAGAAGGCUGUUCUGUUCAUCACUGUUAUAACAGGCUGUUUGAUGUUCACUUCACUCCUUUCUUAAUGGGGGCUCAUAGCCAAGUACCAUAUCUUACCGUCUGACUGACCCAAAUCUUAUUUAAAAGGCUCAACCCUGAAAAUGAAGAAAAAGAAAUGCCACACUAUUGGUUUUAAAUUGGAAAGCGUUACAGCAAAUUGUGGUCAUAAUUCAUAGUCACUGUUUUGGAAUUUUUCCUCAGGGUAAAAUAAUGAGUUAAGCUUUAUAAUAGCAGUUUAAUCCAUUAUUUCACCCACAUGAGCUGUUGCUGCUCGUUCCAGAAUGGCCCCAGAGCAUUAUGUAAUUCUUCGCAUGUUUCCGUUCAUCACUCACGAUACAGGUGUAUUAAUGCCCCUGGGUUAAUAUAAGCAGAUGUUUUGUGGUCAGGCUGAGUGGAACCAAACUGUUUUCUGAUGUUACGCAGAGAAAAAUAACCUCCUUUCUGAGCCCACCUUCAUUUUACUUGCCUCCAGUGAAACCACUGCAGUUAGUAAUAUAUUUCUUUGGGAUAAGUUUUAAAGACAUGAAAGUGACUUCUGUUCUUCAGGUUGCCUGAAAACUGUCCCUUGCCCCUGUGCGCCGAGGCACCCCUGGAAGCACCAGGUGGGUGGCUGGCAGGGCCGGUGGUCUGUGGCCGUGCUCGGCUUACACACUGGGGACACGGGCACUGUUGAUAGAAUUUGAGCACCACACGGGUGAAAGCUGGGGUCUAGACCCUGGGAAGGUUCACUGGGGCACAGGUGGAGGUCAGGGUGAGGGGCCCAGAGCCACAGGUGUGAAGGUGUCUGGACAGAUCCAGCAUGACUGGAGGAGCCCAGAGCAGAUCUGGGGAGUGGGCCGCAGGCCAAGGGGCAGGCUGCCCUCUGGCCGAGCCCCUGCGGGUUCGCCGUGGUGCUCCAGUGAGCCCUUCUUAGGCCUUGGCAGUGCAGAUGUUCCUCCUCAUUGGACACUCGGAGGCCUUGGGAGGAAUGGCUGUUUCUGGAUUAGAAAGGGAUUUCUGUAACAACGUAUGCACAGUGUGGAUCUGCAGCCUUUAAACCAGAUUAUAAACCCUUUCGGGAGGCCUUGUUUGAAAGUCUGACCGACUUCUAAGUGGAAUAAAGCAGUUAAGUCAUACCACCUACUAUGCCCAGCAGUGUCUCAGCACUUGAGCGUUUAUUAGUUUAGACGCCCCAUGUGGUAGGGACUCGUAACCACGAUCCCUCCCACUGUUUGUUGGGGGUUGCCGGGGGUCUGACCAGAGGGAGAGCACCGUAUUCUGGGGUGAGACCCAAACGGUGUAGAGUGGAAUGGCCCAGAAAGACAGGCUGGCUGCCACCAUUUCUCCCCGGGCCAGGCCUGCCCACCCUCCCCGUCAUCUAGGCCUCUCGGCCCCUUUUCAGGGACACAGAGAUGGAGGAAGUGCCGGCAGGUGUGUCUUCCCAGGCCCUGGAGGUCCCCCGUCCUUGGUGCUGACUGUGGGGCUGCGGCUGCACGGUGCCCGUAUGGGGCCAGGGAGCCCCGCCCUGAGUGCUGUGCGUGGACUCCUCUCGCCCAGAGACGGACGUGACCCGGCGCCACGUGGUCCUCGCGAACUCGAAACGGGGGAAUGCGGGCAGCAGCCUGGCCACUGCCUCGUCUACAGGCCAGAUCGCGACAAGAGGCUCCUGUGCUCUGGGCUAUGGGAAACAGGGAUGGGGAACUUCUCCGGUAACUUCAAGAACCCAUCUGGCAGGAAGUCAGAGCCAGAAUGUGAUCCACUCCUGACACAGCUAACCAGGAGCCCCGCAGAAGGAACAGUAACACAAAGGCCUGAAUGGAAGCCACAUGCCCUUCAGCUGGGGAGGAAAAAAAGCAAGCUUUGUUCCCAAGGAUCAUUCCAGUAAUAAACCACCUCAAACCACUAGUUAAUUUUGUUUAGGAAUAGUUCAAAAGCAUGAAAGGACUGUAGAUUUAAAAGAUUAGGGCCAUAUUUUGUCAUUAGAAAAAUUCAAAGAAAAUGCCCCCUGCCAAAAGGAAAAAUCCAAAACCUGAGUAAAAGUACCUGAGAGAAUUAGUCAAAUUAGCAUCCACAUGCUGAAGUAAUUAUAUUUUUUUCUUAAAUACUGGACUCUUUAGUAACUGCUGACAGCUAACAGAGCAGAGUUGUAUUCUCUUAAAUCGCCUUUUUGAUGCACAAAUUAGGAGGGCUAUCUCAGUACCAUGUCAGCAGCUGGCAAGGCAGCCUGCUGUGGUUGGGGUGGCCCUUUGUGGGGCUUCCCCAGCGCUCCCCCAACCCCCUCCCACCCCGCUCUCCAUCCUCUGACCCGGUGGGUCUGGGGUGGAGUGGAGGCCUCUGUGUGAGCGUCCCCAUGCUUAUGGUGCAGGGGUGGAACAGACCAGAUCACCUAGGCCAAAAGGGAAAGAGGGCAGACCCAAGGAGAGAGACGUGAGGGCGGACCUUAGACAGCAGGGAAGGCAUGAAGACAGCAAGGGUGCCGAGGAGCCCUGGCAGAGGGGCACGGGAAGGCACGGCCAGGACAGCGAGGCUGCUCCCCGGCAGGUGCGGAGGCAGAGCUCAGCACCUCAUCGUCCUCAUCCCUGUUGCUGUACUAAGGCAGGGUGGCCUGGUCCUCAGCUGGAUGUCCAGCCUCUGCAGGCCGAGAGCUCUCUUCUGUUCCCUGCACAGGGCCCGGCACACAGGUGCCUCAGAGAACAUUUGUAGGUGUGACUGCAGCUGGAACAGGGGUGUGGGUCCAGCAUGGGUCCCACCCUCAAGCAGCUGAUAGUCACACAGAAGGUUGGAGACACACACAGCAUGACUCAGCAUCACGGGGAUGACCCCCACGCCUCCACGCUCCCCAUCAGUCAUUAAAGUCAGCUCGUACGCUUGCAGUGAGACGAGUGAGACAAGAGGUCUGGCCUCAGGCAGCCCUGCUGUGCUGUGGGGUUUCAUUUUCUCCUGCAGCCUGACUGUCCUCACGCGAAUGCUCAUGGUCUUCCAGCAACACUGCCUCGGUCCUUGCUGGAAAGAGGAGCUCCGGCGUGAUUCUCGGACGGCGGAUCAAAGAGUUCUACACAGACUCGCUGUACUAGACACUUGCCUUUGGUUGGGUUGUUUUGAGACUCAAGUUCAGUGUGACAUUAUCCUCAAUGUGUUUUGUUUUC